rnacentral:rRNA from 1 species
CUAACACAUGCAAGUCGAGCGGGGACUUCGGUCCUAGCGGCGGACGGGUGAGUAACGCGUAGGAAUCUACCUGGUAAUGGGGGAUAACGUUCCGAAAGGAACGCUAAUACCGCAUACGACCUAAGGGUGAAAGUGGGGGAUCUUCGGACCUCACGUUAUCAGAUGAGCCUGCGUAGGAUUAGCUAGUUGGUAGGGUAAAGGCCUACCAAGGCGACGAUCCUUAACUGGUCUGAGAGGAUGAUCAGUCACACUGGAACUGAGACACGGUCCAGACUCCUACGGGAGGCAGCAGUGGGGAAUAUUGGACAAUGGGGGCAACCCUGAUCCAGCCAUGCCGCGUGUGUGAAGAAGGCCUUCGGGUUGUAAAGCACUUUCGGUCAGAAAGAAGGUUGUUAAGUUAAUACCUUGGCAAUUUGACGGUACUGACAUAAGAAGCACCGGCUAACUCCGUGCCAGCAGCCGCGGUAAUACGGAGGGUGCAAGCGUUAAUCGGAAUUACUGGGCGUAAAGCGCGCGUAGGCGGUUUGUUAAGUCGGAUGUGAAAUCCCCGGGCUCAACCUGGGAACUGCAUACGAUACUGGCGAGCUAGAGUGCAAUAGAGGGGGGUAGAAUUCCAGGUGUAGCGGUGAAAUGCGUAGAUAUCUGGAGGAAUACCGGUGGCGAAGGCGGCCCCCUGGAUUGACACUGACGCUGAGGUGCGAAAGCGUGGGUAGCAAACAGGAUUAGAUACCCUGGUAGUCCACGCCGUAAACGAUGUCAACUAGCCGUUGGGAGCCUUGAGCUCUUAGUGGCGCAGCUAA